rnacentral:rRNA from 1 species
CAGUUCGGAUUGCAGUCUGCAACUCGAGUGCAUGAAGCUGGAAUCGCUAGUAAUCGCGGAUCAGAAUGCCGCGGUGAAUACGUUCCCGGGUCUUGUACACACCGCCCGUCACACCAUGGGAGUCGGGAAUGCCCGAAGCCGGUGGCCCAAUCGAGAGAAGGGAGCCGUCGAAGGCAGGCCGGAUGACUGGGGUGAAGUCGUAACAAGGUAGC